AUGAAUGGCAUAACGAGGGCUUAACUGUCUCCUUUUUCAAGUCAAUGAAAUUGAUCUCCCCGUGCAGAAGCGGGGAUACACCCAUAAGACGAGAAGACCCUAUGGAGCUUAAGACGCCAAGGCAUAUCAUGUUAAACACCCCUAAACAAAGGGCCAAACCAAGUGAUAACGUAUGCCCUAAUGUCUUUGGUUGGGGCGACCGCGGGGAAACAAAAAACCCCCACGUGGAAUGGGAGCACCCCUCCUACAACCAAGAGCUGCAGCUCUAAUAAACAGAAUUUCUGACCAAUAAGAUCCGGCAACGCCGAUCAACGGACCGAGUUACCCUAGGGAUAACAGCGCAAUCCCCUUUAAGAGCCCAUAUCGACAAGGGGGUUUACGACCUCGAUGUUGGAUCAGGACAUCCUAAUGGUGCAGCCGCU
rnacentral:rRNA from 1 species